rnacentral:lncRNA from 1 species
CCUCCUCAUAAUCCUUCUCAAGGGCAGCCAUGUCCUCACAGGCCUCAGAAAACUCUCUUUCCUCCAUGUCCUCACCCACAUACCAGUGAACAAAGGCGUAUUUGGCAUGUAUCUGGUUAAACUUAUGGUCCGGGUGAGCCCGGGCCUCAGCAGUGGCUGUGGUGUUGCCCCGCAUGCGCAAAGCUCGUUGUACUUUGGCCAGGUCUCCACCAGGGACUGCAGUGGGAGGCUGGUGAUUAAUUACAACUUUGAAACCAGUGGAGUACCGGUCCACAAACUGGAUGCUGUAAUUGGUCUUUAUGGUGGCAAAGGCAGCAUUGAUAUCUUUGGGAACCAUGUUGCCAUGGUGUCACAGGCAUCAGGCCAUGUAUUUACCAUGGUGAGGGUCAUAUUUCACCAUCUGGUUGGUUGGCUCUGAGCACACAUUGGUGAUCUCUACUACAGAAAGCUGCUCAUGGUAGGCUUUCUCAGCAGAGAUGACAUGGGAAUAUGUGGCCAGAGAGUAGUAGUUGUGAGGAUGGGGCACGAGGUUGGUCUGGAAUUCUGUCAGAUCAACAUUCAGUGCUCCAUCAAAUCUGAGGGAAGCAGUGACGGAGGAUGCAAUUUGACCUACCGACCUAUUCAGGUUAGUGUAAAUUGGGCAUUCGAUAUUGAGGUUUCUAUGACAGAUAUCAUAGAUGGCCUCAUUAUCUACCAUGAAGGCACGAUCAGAGUGCUCCAGGGUGGUGGGUAGUGAGGAUGGAGUUGUAGGGCUCAGCUACAGUUGUAGAAACCUAGGGAGUUGGGUAAAUGGAGAACCCAAACUUGGACUUAUUGCCAUAAUCGACAGACAGACAUUCCAUUAGCCGGGAGGUGAGCCCAGAAUCAG